rnacentral:lncRNA from 1 species
AGAUCAAGGGAAUUAGAGAGAGGAGCUUCAUGCUUCGGGUCGGGGAAGGAAAGACAUAGAAUUUGGAUUUUUCUUCUUCGUAGAGUUUUGGGAAGACUGAGGCAAUCGCUGCUGAAGUCAGUGUUGUAAUGGUGAAUCGGGAUUUUUAAAUGAAGUAGGUUUGAAUACUCUUGACUGUUUUGUAAAAUCGAGUUACGUCUGUAAUUGAAGGAU